rnacentral:tRNA from 1 species
AUCCAGCUGGCUCAGUCGGUGGAGCAUGUGACUCUUGAUUUCAGAGUUGUAGGUUCGACCCCCAUGUUGGGUG